rnacentral:rRNA from 1 species
UAGAAUUGACGGGACCGCACAAGCGGUGGAUGAUGUGGAUUAAUUCGAUGCAACGCGAAAACCUUACCUACCCUUGACAUGUCCGGAAUCCCGGAAGAGAUUUGGGAGUGCUCGCAAGAGAGCCGGAACACAGGUGCUGCAUGGCUGUCGUCAGCUCGUGUCGUGAGAUGUUCGGUUAAGUCCGCUAACGAGCGCAACCCUUGCUGUGUGUUACAUGUGUCACACGGGACUGCCGGUCUUAAACCGGAGGAAGGUGGGAUGACGUCAAGUCAGCAUGGCCUUUAUGUCCUGGGCUACACACACGCUACAAUGGCCGGUACAAUAGGUUGCGAAGCCGCGAGGCGGAGCCAAUCCUCAAAGCCGGCCUCAGUUCAGAUUGCAGGCUGCAACCCGCCUGCAUGAAGAUGGAGUUGCUAGUAACCGCAGGUCAGCUAUACUGCGGUGAAUACGUUCCCGGGGCUU